rnacentral:rRNA from 1 species
AUUGAACGCUGGCGGCAGGCUUAACACAUGCAAGUCGAGCGGAGCGAGGGUGCUUGCACCUUAGCUUAGCGGCGGACGGGUGAGUAAUGCUUAGGAAUCUGCCUAUUAGUGGGGGACAACAUUCCGAAAGGAAUGCUAAUACCGCAUACGCCCUACGGGGGAAAGCAGGGGAUCUUCGGACCUUGCGCUAAUAGAUGAGCCUAAGUCGGAUUAGAUAGUUGGUGGAGUAAAGGCCUACCAAGGCGACGAUCCGUAGCGGGUCUGAGAGGAUGAUCCGCCAAACUGGGACUGAGACACGGCCCAGCCUCCUACGGGAGGCAGCAGUGGGGAAUAUUGGACAAUGGGCGGAAGCCUGAUCCAGCCAUGCCGCGUGUGUGAAGAAGGCCUUUUGGUUGUAAAGCACUUUAAGCGAGGAGGAGGCUACUUAGAUUAAUACUCUGGGAUAGUGGACGUUACUCGCAGAAUAAGCACCGGCUAACUCUGUGCCAGCCGCCGCCGUAAUAC